CCUACGGGAGGCAGCAGUGGGGGAUAUUGCACAAUGGGGGGAACCCUGAUGCAGCGACGCCGCGUGGGUGAAGGAGCGUUUCGGCGCGUAAAGCCCUAUCGGCAGGGAAGAAGAUGACGGUACCUGACCAAGAAGCCCCGGCUAACUACGUGCCAGCAGCCGCGGUAAUACGUAGGGGGCAAGCGUUAUCCGGAUAUAAUGGGUGGAAAGGGGGCGGAGACGGCUAUGCAAGCCAGGGGUGAAAGCCCGGGGCCCAAACCCGGGACUGCUCUUGGAACUGCAUGGCUGGAGUACAGGAGGGGCAGGCGGAAUUCCUAGUGUAGCGGUGAAAUGCGUAGAUAUUAGGAAGAACACCAGUGGCGAAGGCGGCCUGCUGGGCUGUGACUGACGUUGAGGGCCGAAGGCGUGGGGAGCAAACAGGAUUAGAUACCCCAGUAGUC
rnacentral:rRNA from 1 species